GGGAAUAGCUCAGCUGGUAGAGCAUCACGUUGCCAACGUGAAUGUCGCGAGUUCGAAUCUCGUUUCCC
rnacentral:tRNA from 1 species